AGAGUUUGAUCCUGGCUCAGGACGAACGCUGGCGGCGUGCCUAAUACAUGCAAGUCGAGCGGAACAAUUAGCCUUCGGGCUGAGAGUUUAGCGGCGGACGGGUGAGUAACACGUGGGCAACCUGCCCCUUAGACUGGGAUAACUUUGGGAAACCGAAGCUAAUACCGGAUAAUCUUAGAUACUGCAUGGUAUUUAAGUAAAAGGCGAAAGCCACUGAGGGAUGGGCCCGCGACGCAUUAGCUAGUUGGUGUGGUAACGGCAUACCAAGGCGACGAUGCGUAGCCGACCUGAGAGGGUGAUCGGUCACACUGGGACUGAGACACGGCCCAGACUCCUACGGGAGGCAGCAGUAGGGAAUUUUCCGCAAUGGGCGAAAGCCUGACGGAGCAACGCCGCGUGAGAGAAGACGGUCUUCGGAUUGUAAAUCUCUGUUUUUAGGGAAGAAAAAAAUGACGGUACCUAAAGAGAAAGCCCCGGCUAACUACGUGCCAGCAGCCGCGGUAAUACGUAGGGGGCAAGCGUUGUCCGGAAUUAUUGGGCGUAAAGAGCGUGUAGGCGGUAAAUUAAGUUGGAUGUAAAAGGCAUGGGCUCAACCGAUGUAAGCAUCCAAAACUGAUAUACUUGAGUGCAGGAGAGGAAAGUGGAAUUCCCGGUGUAGCGGUGGAAUGCGUAGAGAUCGGGAGGAACACCAGUGGCGAAGGCGACUUUCUGGCCUGUAACUGACGCUAAGACGCGAAAGCGUGGGUAGCAAACAGGAUUAGAUACCCUGGUAGUCC
rnacentral:rRNA from 1 species